CAAUCUUUACCAUUCAGUGAUAACAAGCACCUUUUGUUACAUUUUAAUAUUUUAUGAUGUAUUUAAAUGAGUAGUUAUUGUUGCAAACUCCAUUAGAAAUUUGAAUUGAGAUCAGUUUUGGAAAAAGGGAAAGGGGGAAGUGAAACAUUUUUUUGAGAGGAUUAAUAUUCAACAGCAUAGUGAAUUGCUCAAAGGCAAAAAAAAUAUUUUAAGUUCAUUAGACCACAUUCAUUCUGUGUCAGAAAAAUAUGCUGUGUCAACUAUUUCAUCACAGCUGAAUCCAGCUUGAAUGUUGUGUCCAUACUUGCCCCA
rnacentral:lncRNA from 1 species